rnacentral:lncRNA from 1 species
AAGCUCAUCAUCAUCAUAAUCAUCAUUGAAGAACUUUUGUGUAGCCUUCCCACGUGAAUUCAUUGUAAGAAAGAGAAGGAGAUUGAAUGAGAUUGUGUGGUCAAUUGGGUAGAAUAAUGCUUCUUAAAUAGAAAUGAGGAUGAGAUGACCUAUGUGUUUGAAAAUAUUGAAUGAAGAUAGAAAAAGAUAGAGAAAGAUAAGGGAAUCCAAUAAAGUGAGAUGGACAGCCGAUUGUUUAAUUUUAUUGGCUCAAAUCUCUCUAUUUCAUUCAAAUCCUCCUCUCUCGCUCUCUCGAAUCUCACUACAUCUGGGAUGAGCCCAACCGAUGGUUUUAUUUUUUUUGGGAUUUUUGGAUUUGAUCUUGGUUGAUUUGGUUUGGGUAUUUCUUAUGGCAAGGACAUUGAAUUUCAGUUUGUAGCUAUUUUGAUAUCUUGAGAAAGUUGAAUUUUGGUGUUUUCUUGGAUGUGGGUUGCCUCUUUGCUCUGCCUUCCUCUCAUCUGAAUGUUGGGUAUGCAGGUAAGCUUCCUCGUUCAUGGGUAGUGAAUAUAUGAAUUUUGUUCAAGGGGAUUUGGUGAAUGUUGUGAAGUCUCUGAAGGCUACCUUUACUUUAAUUUUGAGUUCCAUUAGCAUACCUAAAAGCUACAAUGUAAAGCCAAGGAGCAAAAAAUAAAACAUGUAUGUGACCCACAUUAAUUAGCUAAAACAUAUCUACCAGUAUGGUAGUCAUUGAACACAACGUCUAUAAAUCUUAGAUGUUGCCUUUUUCACCACUGUACUCGGUUCUUAAACAAUGAAUGGUCUUUUUAGCCAAUGAAGUUGAAUUCGCGGCAGAUAAAAUACAAAAAAAGAAAAAAGACCAAUCCAAUCUCUAAUUAUGCCAAGAAAUAGAACUGUUAAAUUCCUCACUCUGCUAUUUCUUUCAGAAUUUUGUUAUGCUCAAUAUUUCGAUAUCAAUUACAUUUGCUUUUAUUUGAUUUCUGAUAAUUUUUGGGCACCUUCGAUUUUUUUUUCCAUUGAAUCUGAUUGUAUGCAAUUCUGAAAUGGGAAGAUGAAGAAGAUGUGGGGAAUAGGAAGAAGAAAGCAUAUCUGGAGAUUGGAAGAUGCUAUUGUCAGGAGGGACGUUGUUGCAAAUUAUUUGGGUUGUAAUUCAAAUUAGUAAAAUAGGGAGAUACUCAGAGUUGUACAAAAGAAUUAUUGUAACAAAAUUUAUUUGUUUUUGGUAUCUCAGUUUAUUUUCAUUUAUUUUUAUUUUUUUAAAAGUUUGCAUUUUAACCACAUUUAGAGAAUUUUG